rnacentral:rRNA from 1 species
AUUGAACGCUGGCGGCAUGCCUUACACAUGCAAGUCGAACGGUAACGGGCCUUCGGGUGCCGACGAGUGGCGAACGGGUGAGUAAUAUAUCGGAACGUGCUCAGUAGUGGGGGAUAGCCCGGCGAAAGCCGGAUUAAUACCGCAUGAGCCCUGAGGGUGAAAGCGGGGGAUCGCCAGACCUCGCGCUAUUGGAGCGGCCGAUAUCAGAUUAGCUAGUUGGUGGGGUAAAGGGCUACCAAGGCAACGAUCUGUAGUUGGUCUGAGAGGACGACCAGCCACACUGGGACUGAGACACGGCCCAGACUCCUACGGGAGGCAGCAGUGGGGAAUUUUGGACAAUGGGCGCAAGCCUGAUCCAGCAGUGCCGCGUGCAGGAAGAAGGCCUUCGGGUUGUAAACUGCUUUUGUCAGGGAAGAAAUCUUCUGGGUUAAUACCUCGGGAGGAUGACGGUACCUGAAGAAUAAGUACCGGCUAACUACGUGCCAGCCGCCGCGGUAACAC